rnacentral:rRNA from 1 species
AUUGAACGCUGUCGGCAGGCUUAACACAUGCAAGUCGAGCGAGCGGCGGCCGGGUGAGUAAUGUCUGGGAAACUGCCUGAUGGAGGGGGAUAACUACUGGAAUCGGUAGCUAAUACCGCAUACCAUCAGAUGUGCCCAUAUGGGAUUAUCUUGUAGGUGGGGUAAUGGCUCACCAAGGCGACGAUCCCUAGCUGGUCUGAGAGGAUGACCAGCCACACGGGAACUGAGACACGGUCCAGACUCCUACGGGAGGCAUCAGUGGGGAAUAUUGCACAAUGGGCGCAAGCCUGAUGCAGCCAUGCCGCGUGUGUGAAGAAGGCCUUCGGGUUGUAAAGCACUUUCAGCGAGGAGGCGGUACUCGCAGAAGAAGCACCGGCUAACUCCGUGCCAGCCGCCGCGGUAAUUC